rnacentral:rRNA from 1 species
UACGAAGGGGGCUAGCGUUGCUCGGAAUCACUGGGCGUAAAGGGUGCGUAGGCGGGUCUUUAAGUCAGGGGUGAAAUCCUGGAGCUCAACUCCAGAACUGCCCUUGAUACUGAGGAUCUUGAGCUCGGGAGAGGUGAGUGGAACUGCGAGUGUAGAGGUGAAAUUCGUAGAUAUUCGCAAGAACACCAGUGGCGAAGGCGGCUCACUGGCCCGAUACUGACGCUGAGGCACGAAAGCGUGGGGAGCAAACAGGG